AUGGGGCUGGGGAAUGGUCCAGAUGAGUCUGGAUCUUUCCCAGGUCUUCUCUGGAUGACUGUGCAUACACGCUGGUGUAAACCCAUUCUGUCCACCUCCUGUUCGCACACCUUGGUGUUUUCGAGCCCGAUCGUCCUCCUUCACUUCAACUGUCCGAGUUCCAAAACCCCCAAAGCACUCAGGAAGGAGACUCAGACCCAUCUGAAGCGCAGCAACCAUCGGGAACCUGGGUGCAGGUCUGCACGGGGACAGGCGCACGACUGGGGGCGGGCCCGGGGGCUGUGGGCAGAAGCCGGCUGCCAGCGUGCUCUCGGGAGGGGCUGGAGUCACAGCAGGCAGCGCUCUGGGUUCGCUCCCCCAGUGCUGUGGCAGGGCCUCCCGACGGUGGGCAGCAGGGUGGGUGCCUGGGGACGGGGCCCCUCGUGCCAGCGAGGACCCCUGUGGCCCAGCCGGCGCACCCCUUGCAGGUGCCUCUUCCAGGAUGGCUGCAGUCUCCACCGCCCCCCGGGGUCCUCAAGGUGGCACCGCUCAGAUGUUCAACUGUUGCCUUCCUCGUUUGUUUUCCAAAAAUGAUUUUUUUUUUCUUAAUGGGAAGUUUUUCAAAUCUGUGGUGUUGUUUUAAAGAGAGUGAUUCUUAUUCUUUUUUUGUUGUUCCCGUUGUCACUGCUGGCUCAUCACUGUCCCCAUGAUGGGCCAGGUUGAUACUGUGAAUACAUGAAGGUAAACUGCACCCCGUGCCCCGCGGUGGGCACAGCCUCUCGCAGGGGGCUCCUCUCCACGAAGGCCCCUCUGGCCCCUCUUCUGUGAACAGCGCCCCCACUGCCUCCCCCGGGGAAAGGUGCCCACCCCUGGCCUGGGCAGGUGUCACCAGGGCUCCUGAGUGCUGCCCGGGGAAGGCGCGUUUUCGCCAUAGGAUCAUCAGAUCACGAUUCUUAGGGACCAAAGGCGUUUUUAAUAAGAUAAUCUUUGUAUUUGAUUUUCUAAUGAGAAAGGAAACAGUGACUUUAAAUUUUAACACCAAACUUUUUAAAAUUAUAAAUAUUUAGCAUUAAUUGACCACGGCUCUAAGUUGUAAAAUGUUUUCAUAGUAAGAUUGUAAUUAUUUCCUUACUGUAUUUUUUAAAAACUAAAGUCAUAUUUAAAAUUCUCUUUGAAAGAAACAAGCAAGAAACAGCAAAGAUUUUUUUUUAAUUAAAUCUGUUGGCGGUGCCCAUUUUAGAGGACUGUAGAUAUAUUUUCACUGUGUUUCUCAGUGUAUUUAAUUCAUAAACUAAGAACUUUUAUCAGAGGAAACUUCCGAUGGAAAUACCAGUUUUCUGGCCAUUUGCUCCAUGUUGUAAUCACCUCACCUGAAUUUUCUGCUUUACUAACUGAUUUUUCUACUGUUUCACACGGUGUAUAGCCCACGGACUGGCGCCAUCCGGCGUGCCUCAUUUGUGUGUUACCAAUAAAGCUGUACGCUUCCAGCCA
rnacentral:lncRNA from 12 species